UGGYUCDUURUAUAHGUBAUCGUUUAUUUGAUAAYUCUUUUUCUACUUGGAUAACCGUGGUAAUUCUAGAGCUAAUACAUGCUAAAAAUCCCGACUUCGGAAGGGUUGUAUUUAUUAGAUUAAMMACCAAUGCCCCUCGGGGCUCUCUGGUGAAUCAUGAUAACUAGUCGAAUCGACAGGCCUUGUGCCGGCGAUGGCUCAUUCAAAUUUCUUCCCUAUCAACUUUCGAUGUUUGGGUCUUGUCCAAACAUGGUGGCAACGGGUAACGGAGGGUUAGGGCUCGACCCCGGAGAAGGAGCCUGAGAAACGGCUACUACAUCCAAGGAAGGCAGCAGGCGCGCAAAUUACCCAAUCCCGACACGGGGAGGUAGURACAAUAAAUACUGAUACAGGGCUCUUUUKGGUCUUGUAAUCGGAAUGAGUACAAUUUAAAUCCCUUAACGAGGRACAAUUKGAGGGCAAGUCUUGUGCCAGCAGCCGCGGUWAUUCACAGCUCCAAUWGCGUAUA
rnacentral:rRNA from 1 species